GACAGAGGGUGCAAACGUUGUUCGGAAUUACUGGGCGUAAAGCGCAUGUAGGCGGUUCGUAAAGUCAGAUGUGAAAGCCCUGGGCUUAACCCAGGAAGUGCAUUUGAAACUCACGAACUUGAGUCCCGGAGAGGAAGGCGGAAUUCUCGGUGUAGAGGUGAAAUUCGUAGAUAUCGAGAGGAACAUCGGUAGCGAAGGCGGCCUUCCGGACGGUGACUGACGCUGAGAUGCGAAAGCGUGGGGAGCAAACAGG
rnacentral:rRNA from 1 species